CCGAUUGGAUCCAAUCGCUCCUCUCUUCCUUGCUCGCUCUCGCUCCUCUCGCUCCUCUCUCGGUCGUCAAGAGCGCCGCCGCCGCUACCGGCCGCCCUCCCCUCCGCCUCUGCCCACCGAGCCGGCGCCUCCUCCACAUCGCCUUCGUGGCACCCGCCGGGCGUUCCCUUUCCCUAACCGCAGCCGGCCCACGCCGCCGGCCGGACCAACCCAACGCCCGAAGCCUUCCCUGGCUCUCUCUCAGCCGGCUCGCCGCCUGCACCUGCGAGCUGCUGUCCAUCUCCACCGUCCCGCAGCCGCAGGGAUCUACCCCCAUAUCGGCAGCGCGGAUCUUUGUUCCCACGCUCUGCUGCUUCGAUGCACAUGGGUGUCGACGCCCUGCCGGCAGCCUGCUACGCCCUUCCGGUACUCGUCUCUUUGCUCACCAUCCGCUUAUUCUACGUGAUAUGGCGCAGCGGCCAACCAUCGUCGAGGCCGCGCGCCGGCGGAUUGCGUUGUCUCAUCGUCCUCGGCUCCGGGGGGCAUACAGCAGAAAUGAUGAAUAUUGUAACAACGCUUCAGAAGGAUAGGUUCACACCAAGAUUCUAUGUAGCUGCACUUACUGACAACAUGAGCCUUCAGAAGGCACAGGUCUAUGAAGAAUCGCUGAUUGAGGUGGAGGUCACUUAUCAUGUUGCCUUGUACCAAACAUAUGCUGAUAUAUCGUAGUCGUGAAGUAGGCCAAUCUUAUAUCACCUCCAUCGCGACGACAUUGCUAGCCACAUUGCAUGCUAUGUGGCUAGUAAUAAGAAUCAGACCACAAGUGAUAUUUUGCAAUGGUCCAGGGACAUGCUUUCCUCUAUGUGUCUCGGCUUUCUUUCUGAAGGUGCUUGGUAUGGGAUGGUCCUCUAUUUUCUACAUUGAAAGUAUUGCAAGAGUGAAGAAGCUUUCGAUGAGCGGUUUACUGCUGUACAAGCUACGGAUUGCUGACCAGUUUUUCGUGCAGUGGCCCCAGCUGCAUCAAAAGUACCCUCGAGCAUGCUACGCUGGCCGUUUGAUGUGAGAUUCAAACCAUAUCCGACAUUUGGGUGCUGCGUUUUUUCAACUUGAAAGUCUGAUGAUGCUGACUUAGAAAAGAAAUGCUUUACAGACAUUGAUACUUCAUACAUGGGGCAUGUUACUUUAAGAUAAUGUUUGUGGGUGAAAAGUGAAUCAAAGUAGGUUCAUAGAAGUUACCUCUUCCAUACUGUCCUCAAUUGUGCCUGCCCCCCGUUUGACGAUUCUAAUAUAAUAUACAACAUGAAUUCAGCAUUCUUUGA